AUUGAACGCUGGCGGCAUGCCUUACACAUGCAAGUCGAACGGCAGCACGGGUGCUUGCACCUGGUGGCGAGUGGCGAACGGGCGAGUAAUACAUCGGAACGUACCUUAUCGUGGGGGAUAACGCAGCGAAAGCUGUGCUAAUACCGCAUACGCCCUGAGGGGGAAAGCGGGGGAUCGCAAGACCUCGCGCGAUUAGAGAGGCCGAUGCCUGAUUAGCUUGUUGGUGGGGUAAAAGCCCACCAAGGCGACGAUCAGUAGCUGGUCUGAGAGGACGAUCAGCCACACUGGGACUGAGACACGGCCCAGACUCCUACGGGAGGCAGCAGUGGGGAAUUUUGGACAAUGGGGGCAACCCUGAUCCAGCAAUGCCGCGUGAGUGAAGAAGGCCUUCGGGUUGUAAAGCUCUUUUGUCAGGGAAGAAACACCGGCUCUAACACAGUCCGGGAAUGACGGUACCUGAAGAAUAAGCACCGGCUAACUACGUGCCAGCCGCCGCAGUAA
rnacentral:rRNA from 1 species